UUUUUAGCGGCGGACGGGUGAGUAACGUGUGGGCAACCUGCCUUUUACUGGGGAAUAAUCACUGGAAACGGUGACUAAUACCGCAUAAUAUUCUUGGAAGGCAUCUUCCGAGAAGGAAAGGAAAUAUUCGGUAAAAGAUGGGCCCGCAUCUGAUUAGCUAGUUGGUGAGAUAACAGCCCACCAAGGCGACGAUCAGUAGCCGACCUGAGAGGGUGACCGGCCACAUUGGGACUGAGACACGGCCCAAACUCCUACGGGAGGCAGCAG
rnacentral:rRNA from 1 species